CAAUCACACACUUCCUCCAACAAGACCAUACCACCUAAUAGUGCCACUCCCUGGGCCAAGCAUAUCAAACUACCACAUUCAGAGGUCUCAAAGAGAGAAAUUAGAUUGUUACUUCUACCCAGUAUGCCCAGGAUCUUAUCUCCACAAAGGAGAGAAAAUGGAAUGGAUAGAUAGCAAGGAAGUUUGAGACCCUUUAUUAGGACCAAGAUGUCAAUGGGCUUGUGGCAGAGAACCACUUGCUGGGAAUAUUGGACAGCUCUCAGCAAACUCUACCAAAGAUGCAACCAGUGCCCGGGAUCACCAGAAAACCUUGCUCUCGGGACACAAUAUGGGCACUCCGAGGCUCUCAGGACCCACAGGCUGCCUAAGAUGACUCCUGCGGCUCCAGAGGAAUGGAGGAGAGGAGUUGGAGAAGAGUGUGCAGCUCCAGUACUUAGAGAACAUGAUGGGGACUGACGAACUAAACACAAGCUGUCACUGGCAGUGCUCGCUGUGACAGUGAGAAGGCCAGAGAGCACCUCAAACCAUUUCCAACAACGUUAUUCUUUAUUUCUCUUCUCUUCUCUUCUCUUCUCGUCUCUUCUCUUCUUUUCUUUUUUCUUCUCUCUUUUAAAGGAGAGUGCCCUGUCAUAAAGUCCAGAACAUCCUAGAACUCAAUUCGGUUUCAAUUGGCUUUGAACUUGUAAUAUUCAGACUCCCAAGCAAGUGCUGGAAUAAGAUCACAAUACCUAAACUUUAUUUCUCAUCUGUUUCUCACAAAGAAGAAAACAAAAGGUAUUUAGAGCAAAAUUUGGACUAUGUGAUAAACUUCCCACCUUAGCUUUUGUCUUUUGUUGUGAAUUAGUGUCAGACUAAAGAUAGUCUGACAGGUUUACAAUCCUAAACCUUCUGUUUUCAGGGUCAGCCUCAGUAGUUGAGACAAGCAAAGAAUAGCAAAAGGGUCCCAAAGCUAUGGUGCCAGGAGAAUAGAGCAGCCUCCUCACUGCCCUGGUCUGUCUCUGCUUCUAGUGAGGGAAC
rnacentral:lncRNA from 1 species